rnacentral:lncRNA from 1 species
ACUGAAGUGAUCCUUUUUUUUCCAUGUAGAAAAACUGAGGAUGUCAGGACUGGACCUAGGAUUUCAUCUCUUUAGGAGAACUUCCAAAUAAGGAAAUUCCCCCAAUCAAUGCAGGGGGUCUGAGCUGGCUUUAGCACAUCCCUGCCGGAUCCUCACCAGAAGAUGUAGCAGAGGACAGGAACAGGAGGUGCACAGAAGAAUUACAAGCUGCACCACGGAAAGGAAUCCCCGGCUCAAUCAGAUCACAUAUCUAUUCAAGUUUCGAGCUAUUUCUUGACCAUUCUGCCUGCUCAGCCAACCCUGUCUUUUGAAUCAUCAGAACUUGAUACUGUGAGCACUUUAUCUUCUCUUAGAUGUGAUUCAGGACUCAGGGGAGCUAAGUCUUUGAGAGGGAAGAGGAUCUCCCACCUGGUAGAUCUUAAGAAGACUUCCUGGAAAACUGUUUGAGACCAAUCUUUUGGCUGUCAGCUUUCUAGGGGCAAAAGAACCUCAUUGAACCAAGCUCAGCCAGGCCUCUGGAUGACAGAUGUAGAGUUUACCAACUGCAUACAGAAACCUCCAUAGCAGAGGCAGCUAAGUAGAAGCUGGACCUGGAAGCAGGAAAACCUGAGACACUUACUAGGUGGGUGUCUGACAUUUAUAGGAUCCUCCUGGCUGUACUACCCUAAGGUUUGUUCCUACGAAAGGUAAAAAAGACUUCUUCACUUUAUGGAGUAAAAGAAUAAAAAGAAAUGAGACAUUUGAAAACUCA